GGGGAUAUAGCUCAGUUGGUAGAGUACUUGCCCUUGCAUGCACAAGGUCCUGGGUUCAAACCCCAGCAUCACAC
rnacentral:tRNA from 1 species